UUUUCAGAUUGCUCUUUGCAUCUGAUUUUUGGCUUUGCUUUCCCCGUAUGUCUCAAGUCUAGUUACCAUUUAUGGCUUUCGCACCUGUAAACAUUUAUGGUUGCUUUUGUUGAUUCAUACUAGCAUCUAUGCUAAUUUUUUUAAUGCACGACCUUAAUCCUACUUUUAUGUGUAUUUAUGAUCAAUCACCAUGUAUUUUACGCUCUUCGGUUUUUUAUGUCAAAAAAUGGGUUUUUACGCUGAUUUAUAUGUGUGCCUAUGCUGCAACACAUACAAUUCUAACUAAAUAUGCAUAAAGCAGCGCGCCAGCACCUCAUAUUUUAUUCUCAUCUUUUCUACUUCGUUAAUUCAUUGACCCAUGUCUCUGUCCUGGUAUAUUCUGGAGACAGAUCCCCACGUCCAGAGUUACAAGAUCAAGCUUGGUUGUGGCUGCUGCUGUGUUGCCUCCUCUUGUUGGACCGAAGAGAGGGAGGGGAGAAGCAGCUGGCGUGCAGACUUCUACUCAGGUGGCCUUUUAUUCUCUAUGGGGCUUCUAGGAUACAUCUUCUCCAGAAGCACCAUAAGUCUUGUCUUGGGCAUUACACCAGGGCUAGCCACUCUGCUACUUGGCACUCUCAGUCUGAAGUUCUGGAGGAGCGACAGAUCCAGCUUCCUGCUUAUCUUGUCUCAGGCAGGUAGAAUGAAUUUUAAGCAACUAGUUGUAUGGGACCUGGAAGUCUUUUUAUGUCUUCUAGUGUACUUCACUAUGCACUUAUUUCUAUCUCAAGAAUUGCUGCUAUGAUUAGUCAGCGGUUAGUGACACUUGUUUUUCCCCACUAUUGCUUUUUUAGAGGUGAUGCUGAUGUGCAAGCAUCUUCACCUUGAGUUCUGCCUUGCCAGAAUGAAUCAAGUUUAUUUUCUCAUCCUGCUCCAUUUGAGGUAGCCCAAUCGUCUGUCCUCACAUCAACUUUCACCUGCCUUAAGCCUUUAGGUUCAUUUGUCUUAUAUAUACCAUGGUAAACCACACCAUGAAUAUGCCAUAAAUAAGUAACAAGAGUGUAUAGCAACUCAGCACACACAGGAAGUCAGGAUCCUUCACGUACAUCUUUCAUGUUAUUGCAACCUUGAUUCUACAUGCUUCAGGUAGUCUAGAAUAUCAGAUUGUUGUAUAUAUUUAACACCUUCUGUACCAUCAAAUUCAGAAAUGCACUCAAGAAAAGGCUUUUCAAAACUCUUAGAAUGUAUUCCAAGAGCAGUGCACAUAUUUAGAAGCUAAUUAUGUAAUUUCUUAUAUGUUGCUUUGAGGCAAAUUGAACAGGGAUUUGUUUGGCUUCCAAAUGGUUUGUUGGUCCUAAAAUAGUCAGAAUCACAUGACAUCUGUGCUAUAGAUAUGGACCUCGGUGGUUUUCUCCACAUUAGGAAAGCUGGAAGAGCCUUUUUGAACUCAGUUUUUUUGCUAACAGUGGUGUUAUGGUGAAACAGAGUUUUGUGUGUAUGUACCAACAGCUAAAAUGUAAACACGACAUUAUCAUAGUUGAGUACAGGAAUAAUUAUCUCUUAUAUCUUAUUGCAAAAUCUGAAACAGUUCUCCUGUAGAUGGUUAGCUUGCAUUUUACGCUACAAUUACCUCAGAUCACUUGUAUCUUACACCAAUUUACGAAAUUUGUUGAUGCGUUUUAUGACAA